UGUGAAGAGAGAUGGAGUUUUUUGGAUGUCCUCCAAAGAGCUGCCUAUGAGAAGUCACCAAGAAUGUACAGAACUUUUGCAAUAAGAUGACAAUGAUUAGAUGGAAGCCCCUGGGGAAGUCCUUUGUCCAAGCUGGCCGCUCGAGCUGCAGAUGCAGGAGCCGGAGGGAGUUGUUUGAUGGCAGAUGUCCCCAGCAUGACCCCACACCAGCUCCUUCUGUGGAAGAACAACAUCCCUUGGCAGACAAGAGCAAGUGACACUCUUGCUGGGGGCACCUCUGUUGAAAACCUUACUGGAACUGCAAUUAGACCUGUGAUGUUCCUCCUGUAUGCAUAAGGCCUUUACCUUUUGUGGGAGG